rnacentral:rRNA from 1 species
GUGGGGAAUAUUGGACAAUGGGCGAAAGCCUGAUCCAGCCAUGCCGCGUGUGUGAAGAAGGUCUUCGGAUUGUAAAGCACUUUAAGUUGGGAGGAAGGGCAGUAAGUUAAUACCUUGCUGUUUUGACGUUACCGACAGAAUAAGUACCGGCUAACUUCGUGCCAGCAGUCGCGGUAAUACGAAGGGUGCAAGCGUUAAUCGGAAUUACUGGGCGUAAAGCGCGCGUAGGUGGUUUUGUAAGUUGGAGGUGAAAUCCCCGGGCUCAACCUGGGAACUGCCUCCAAAACUGCAUGACUAGAGUACGGUAGAGGGUAGUGGAAUUUCCUGUGUAGCGGUGAAAUGCGUAGAUAUAGGAAGGAACACCAGUGGCGAAGGCGACUACCUGGACUGAUACUGACACUGAGGUGCGAAAGCGUGGGGAGCAAACAGGAUUAGAAACCCGGGUAGUCC